ensembl:lncRNA
GUAACCCAAACACCUUCAAACACAUCCACAGGUAACUAACACGCUCUCAAACACAUCCGCAGGUAGCUAACACACUCUCAAACACAUCCGCAGGUAACUGACACACUCUCAAACACAUCCGCAGGUAACUAACACACUCUCAAACACAUCCGCAGGUAACCGAAACACCUUCAAACACAUCCGCAAGUAACUAACACACUCUCGGACAUCCGAAGGUAACCAACACACUCUCGGACAUCCGAAGGUAACCGACAUGAACUCAAAUUCGUCUGCAGGUCACCGAGGGAAACGCCCCGUUAUUUGCAACAGUGUCGAGUUUUCAAAAGAUAGAAUAAAUCAAAC